CGCACCUUGCGCCUUUUGGUAUUCCGAAAGGCAUGCCUGUUUGAGUGUCAUGAAAUCUCAACCCCUCUGGUUUUCUGAACUGGUUGGGUUGGACUUGGGUGAUCUGCCAGCAAUGGCUCGCCUCAAAUGACUUAGUGGAACAUCCCACAUCAGUGUUAGACGUAAUAAGUUUCGUCUCUCCUUGUGGUGAUGACCGCUCAGAACUUGCCAUCGCGCACUUUUGACUUUGACCUCAAAUCAGGUAGGGCUACCCGCUGAACUUAA
rnacentral:misc_RNA from 1 species